GGAAUAUUGGACAAUGGGCGAAAGCCUGAUCCAGCAAUGCCGCGUGAGUGAUGAAGGCCUUAGGGUUGUAAAGCUCUUUUACCAGGGGUGAUCAUGACAGUACCUGGAGAAUCAACUCCGGCUAACUCCGUGCCCGCAGCCGCGGUAAUACGGAGGGGGCUAGCGUUGUUCGGAAUUACUUGGCGUAAAGCGCACGUAGGCGGCUUUUUAGGUCAGGGGUGAAAUCCCGGGGCUCAACCCCGGAACUGCCUUUGAAACUGGAAAGCUAGAAUCCUGGAGAGGUGAGUGGAAUUCCGAGUGUAGAGGUGAAAUUCGUAGAUAUUCGGAAGAACACCAGUGGCGAAGGCGACUCACUGGACAGGUAUUGACGCUGAGGUGCGAAAGCGUGGGGAGCAAAC
rnacentral:rRNA from 1 species